rnacentral:sRNA from 1 species
UUUUUUUUUUCAUUUUGUUUCUGUGAUUGGAUUUGUCCUGAGUACUCUCUUCCAAGUUUAUUCGCACAGUGGACUGUGUGAUUUAAGUUUGGGGGAGGGCUCAGGAAGUGUGUGUUGCAUUGUAUAUAUUUUUGAGUCUGCAUUCAUCUAAGGGAUAGAAAAACCAAAAAAAUUUGAAAAAUUUCAGAAAAUGAUUUCACAAAAAAAAAGAGUGUUCAUGUAAUUGCAUUACAUUUAGAAUCGAGUCUAGAGUGUUUCAUUUAGGAUUAUUGCAUAUGUAUAGGGGAUGAUGAUGAGAUAGCCUUGUAAGCAUUUUGAUUCACCGGAGAAACUCAGUGCCCUCGUUACUAGUUGUCUGUUGAGUAGUCAAUGAAUUUGAAAUAAAACUGAACCAUGCCUAGAUUGCUCUACUCGACCACACUGUCAUGAUCUGAUACGAUUUCCUAUCAAUUUGAACCUGAAUCUGAUCUUUAAUUAUCAUGUCUGCAUCAAAUUUGAACUCAUGGAUACCCUAAAAUACUUGGAUUUUCUUAUUCAUUUUGAUCACUCUUGUUAAUCCAAGUAGCUGAUUCUGCUUAUUAGAGCAGUUAACUCAAACCCAAACCUAGACUUUCUUUCAAGCCCUAUAUCACUUGUGAGUGUUUGUGAGGUCUUAUUCCGAUUAAGUUUGGUAGAAAGUGUUAGGUUCGUAACGACAGAGAUAGUGUCUCAUGUAGUUCUAGUUCAUAUUUUUCGGACUAGAUAGGACUAGGUGGGCGCUUAUACUUUGGGUUGGGAUGUGUUUAAAAGAAAAAAAA